rnacentral:piRNA from 1 species
UGGCCACAACACCUCUGAUCCUGGUC